UCGGGGUACACGAGUGGCGAACGGGUGAGUAACACGUGGGUAAUCUGCCCUGCACAUCGGGAUAAGCCUGGGAAACUGGGUCUAAUACCGAAUAGGACCACAGAACACAUGUCCUGUGGUGGAAAGCUUUUGCGGUGUGGGAUGGGCCCGCGGCCUAUCAGCUUGUUGGUGGGGUGAUGGCCCACCAAGGCGACGACGGGUAGCCGGCCUGAGAGGGUGUCCGGCCACACUGGGACUGAGAUACGGCCCAGACUCCUACGGGAGGCAGCAGUGGGGAAUAUUGCACAAUGGGCGAAAGCCUGAUGCAGCGACGCCGCGUGGGGGAUGACGGCCUUCGGGUUGUAAACCUCUUUCACCAUCGACGAAGGUUCGGGUUUUCUCGGAUUGACGGUAGGUGGAGAAGAAGCACCGGCCAACUACGUGCCAGCAGCCGCGGUAAUACGUAGGGUGCGAGCGUUGUCCGGAAUUACUGGGCGUAAAGAGCUCGUAGGUGGUUUGUCGCGUUGUUCGUGAAAUCUCACGGCUUAACUGUGAGCGUGCGGGCGAUACGGGCAGACUUGAGUACUGCAGGGGAGACUGGAAUUCCUGGUGUAGCGGUGGAAUGCGCAGAUAUCAGGAGGAACACCGGUGGCGAAGGCGGGUCUCUGGGCAGUAACUGACGCUGAGGAGCGAAAGCGUGGGGAGCGAACAGGAUUAGAUACCCUGGUAGUCCACGCCGUAAACGGUGGGUACUAGGUGUGGGUUUCCUUCCUUGGGAUCCGUGCCGUAGCUAACGCAUUAAGUACCCCGCCUGGGGAGUACGGCCGCAAGGCUAAAACUCAAAGAAAUUGACGGGGGCCCGCACAAGCGGCGGAGCAUGUGGAUUAAUUCGAUGCAACGCGAAGAACCUUACCUGGGUUUGACAUGCACAGGACGCCGGCAGAGAUGUCGGUUCCCUUGUGGCCUGUGUGCAGGUGGUGCAUGGCUGUCGUCAGCUCGUGUCGUGAGAUGUUGGGUUAAGUCCCGCAACGAGCGCAACCCUUGUCUCAUGUUGCCAGCGGGUAAUGCCGGGGACUCGUGAGAGACUGCCGGGGUCAACUCGGAGGAAGGUGGGGAUGACGUCAAGUCAUCAUGCCCCUUAUGUCCAGGGCUUCACACAUGCUACAAUGGCCGGUACAAAGGGCUGCGAUGCCGCGAGGUUAAGCGAAUCCUUUUAAAGCCGGUCUCAGUUCGGAUCGGGGUCUGCAACUCGACCCCGUGAAGUCGGAGUCGCUAGUAAUCGCAGAUCAGCAACGCUGCGGUGAAUACGUUCCCGGGCCUUGUACACACCGCCCGUCACGUCAUGAAAGUCGGUAACACCCGAAGCC
rnacentral:rRNA from 1 species